rnacentral:lncRNA from 1 species
UGCCCAAUCUAUUUUCAUCCCGAACUUUAAAUCAUAAAAAAUUUGCAUUGCUGUCAUUUUGUUUUUAUCAAUAUAGUAGAUAAUAUAUAUUUUUUAACGUUCCAGAGUAGAUUAAGUGCUCUGUUAUUUUUUUUUCCUCUUUUUCAGAACAAGAUGGACAGCCCCUAGAAAUUCAUUGAAAUGAUAGCAAAAGCAGGAUCCA